CACGGCGCACGGGUGCGUAACACGUGGGCAAUCUGCCCUCUGAUUUGGAAUAACCCCGCGAAAGCGGGGCUAAUUCCGCAUAACAUUCCCCUUGGCAAAGCCGCGUCAGAGGAGGAGCCCGCGCCCGAUUAGCUAGUUGGUGAGGUAAUGGCUCACCAAGGCAAUGAUCGGUAGCUGGUCUGAGAGGAUGAUCAGCCACACUGGAACUGAGACACGGUCCAGACUCCUACUGGAGGCAGCAGUGGGGAAUCUUGCACAAUGGGCGAAAGCCUGAUGCAGCGACGCCGCGUGGGGGAUGAAGCUUUUCGGAGUGUAAACCCCUUUCGACCGGGAAGAAUGACGGUACCGGUAUAAGAAGCCCCGGCUAACUACGUGCCAGCAGCCGCGGUAAGACGUAGGGGGCCAGCGUUGUUCGGAAUUACUGGGUGUAAAGGGUUCGUAGGCGGUGUGGCAAGUUGGGAGUGAAAUCUCUGGGCUCAACUCAGAGGCUGCUUCCAAAAC
rnacentral:rRNA from 1 species